AAGAGUUUGAUCAUGGCUCAGGACGAACGCUGGCGGCGUGCCUAAUACAUGCAAGUCGUACGCUUCUUUUUCCACCGGAGCUUGCUCCACCGGAAAAAGAAGAGUGGCGAACGGGUGAGUAACACGUGGGUAACCUGCCCAUCAGAAGGGGAUAACACUUGGAAACAGGUGCUAAUACCGUAUAACAAUCGAAACCGCAUGGUUUUGAUUUGAAAGGCGCUUUCGGGUGUCGCUGAUGGAUGGACCCGCGGUGCAUUAGCUAGUUGGUGAGGUAACGGCUCACCAAGGCCACGAUGCAUAGCCGACCUGAGAGGGUGAUCGGCCACAUUGGGACUGAGACACGGCCCAAACUCCUACGGGAGGCAGCAGUAGGGAAUCUUCGGCAAUGGACGAAAGUCUGACCGAGCAACGCCGCGUGAGUGAAGAAGGUUUUCGGAUCGUAAAACUCUGUUGUUAGAGAAGAACAAGGAUGAGAGUAACUGUUCAUCCCUUGACGGUAUCUAACCAGAAAGCCACGGCUAACUACGUGCCAGCAGCCGCGGUAAUACGUAGGUGGCAAGCGUUGUCCGGAUUUAUUGGGCGUAAAGCGAGCGCAGGCGGUUUCUUAAGUCUGAUGUGAAAGCCCCCGGCUCAACCGGGGAGGGUCAUUGGAAACUGGGAGACUUGAGUGCAGAAGAGGAGAGUGGAAUUCCAUGUGUAGCGGUGAAAUGCGUAGAUAUAUGGAGGAACACCAGUGGCGAAGGCGGCUCUCUGGUCUGUAACUGACGCUGAGGCUCGAAAGCGUGGGGAGCAAACAGGAUUAGAUACCCUGGUAGUCCACGCCGUAAACGAUGAGUGCUAAGUGUUGGAGGGUUUCCGCCCUUCAGUGCUGCAGCUAACGCAUUAAGCACUCCGCCUGGGGAGUACGACCGCAAGGUUGAAACUCAAAGGAAUUGACGGGGGCCCGCACAAGCGGUGGAGCAUGUGGUUUAAUUCGAAGCAACGCGAAGAACCUUACCAGGUCUUGACAUCCUUUGACCACUCUAGAGAUAGAGCUUCCCCUUCGGGGGCAAAGUGACAGGUGGUGCAUGGUUGUCGUCAGCUCGUGUCGUGAGAUGUUGGGUUAAGUCCCGCAACGAGCGCAACCCUUAUUGUUAGUUGCCAUCAUUCAGUUGGGCACUCUAGCAAGACUGCCGGUGACAAACCGGAGGAAGGUGGGGAUGACGUCAAAUCAUCAUGCCCCUUAUGACCUGGGCUACACACGUGCUACAAUGGGAAGUACAACGAGUCGCGAAGUCGCGAGGCUAAGCUAAUCUCUUAAAGCUUCUCUCAGUUCGGAUUGUAGGCUGCAACUCGCCUACAUGAAGCCGGAAUCGCUAGUAAUCGCGGAUCAGCACGCCGCGGUGAAUACGUUCCCGGGCCUUGUACACACCGCCCGUCACACCACGAGAGUUUGUAACACCCGAAGUCGGUGAGGUAACCUUUUGGAGCCAGCCGCCUAAGGUGGGAUAGAUGAUUGGGGUGAAGUCGUAACAAGGUAGCCGUA
rnacentral:rRNA from 1 species